GAGUUUGAUCCUGGCUCAGGAUGAACGCUGGCGGCGUGCCUAACACAUGCAAGUCGAACGGGGGCAGAUUGAAACCUAGUGAUAUCUGCCCGAGUGGCGGACGGGUGAGUAACGCGUGGACAACCUGCCGCAUGCAGGGGGAUACCGGCUGGAAACAGCCGCUAAUACCGCAUAUGCGCGCGGGGGGGUCGCCCUCAAUUCUUCUUUUGUGUUUCUUUCCUGCGAACCUCCCCCGCCGCAUUAUCAAUUGUUGUGUUUGCGGCCGGCCGGGGGGCCCACCGAACCGAACCAAUAGUGUUUAAUUAAGGAAGAUUAAGUUGGAAAUAUGUCCUGGCUGCUCCCCCUUCCUUCAACCCGGUCAUCAGUUAUAGUCUUUUACGUCGUCUUCACCGGUGCACCCCACCCAAAAACUAGGUCAUUUCUUAACAAUCUAAGCUCUGCGCAUAACUCACGCUGAAAUACAGUUCUUUUAUCUCCAAUAUACCUCUUGGCUUGUCGG
rnacentral:rRNA from 1 species